AGUGAACGCUGGCGGUAGGCCUAACACAUGCAAGUCGAACGGCAGCACAGUAAGAGCUUGCUCUUACGGGUGGCGAGUGGCGGACGGGUGAGGAAUACAUCGGAAUCUACUUUUUCGUGGGGGAUAACGUAGGGAAACUUACGCUAAUACCGCAUACGACCUACGGGUGAAAGCAGGGGAUCUUCGGACCUUGCGCGAUUGAAUGAGCCGAUGUCGGAUUAGCUAGUUGGCGGGGUAAAGGCCCACCAAGGCGACGAUCCGUAGCUGGUCUGAGAGGAUGAUCAGCCACACUGGGACUGGGACACGGUCCAGAAUUCUACGGGAGGCAGCAGUGGGGGAUAUUGGACAAUGGGGGCAAGCCUGAUCCAGCCAUACCGCGUGGGUGAAGAAGGCCUUCGGGUUGUAAAGCCCUUUUGUUGGGAAAGAAAAGCAGCAGGUUAAUACCCCGCUGUUCUGACGGUACCCAAAGAAUAAGCACCGGCUAACUUCGUGC
rnacentral:rRNA from 1 species